GCGCAUGGCCACCCCCCACCCCUCACCAUCUGCCUUUCAGUUUCUACGAAUGAGAGACGUGACACAAGAGGUCCCAAGGGAGCAAACCUGAAAGCCAGCGCCACCUGAACGCACAGACGGCCAAGGGGCGAGAUGAUACUCCUCACUGUUUCCAGAUAGAAGAAGCAUCGCUUUCUUCAGCAGAUUGAUAGAUGAAGCAUAAAACAAGACCAGAUGCUGUGGUUUCCAGGAUGCACUUGGCUUCCCAUGCUUUAUAACCUGGAGCAUUUAUUGCUGCUCCAUUCCUACAGAUUUCACCUGACUAGGGGAGAAAAAGGAAGGAAAGACAUGGUUCAAAGACAGGAGAUGUGGAAUCAAGCCAUUUUACUGACCGUACGUAUAUUAUUGCCGUGUUGUGAUAGGUCCAUUCCUGAUGUGUCCACCAGAGACCAGUCUCAUCAGGGGCAUCCUGAGUCUCCAUCAACCAAGGUGGUACAAAAACAGCACUCUACUUGGUUUGUGUUCUGUGCCCUGAAGCAGAAAUGCGUUUAA
rnacentral:lncRNA from 1 species